GGAAAAUCUGCAGUAGAGUGCUGUGUCUGUUUUUAAACUUUGUGUUUGCUGUAGUCCAAUACCAAUGAAUUCCUCGCUAUCAAGAAAAUCUAGCUUAACAAAGGAAAUUUGUGAUGGACUGAGUGGCAUUAAGUAACAAGCUAGACUAAAGGUCUCUUCGACUGCUGCCCUCACUGCAGAUUUUGAACUGACAAAGAAGAACUGUAACUGAUUUCAAAGUUUUCUUUAAAUGUUGGGAAAGAAGAUGAGCCAGCAUUCUGAAAAGGAGCUGGUUAUAUCACAUAGAAGUCCUAGAGGAGGUGGUAGAAGAGAAAGCCCCAUGAUGAGAACUCUGGCAGUCCUUCCCAGUAGGAGCCCCAUCAAGUCAGCAAGAUACAAGGCUGUGGUGAACACUGCAGGAAGAUCUGCUGAUUGGUCUCACAUUUGCCUUACUUGUGAAGAUCAUCCCCUCUAUACCUUGAAAAUGACUGCCCCAGUUCCUUGGAAUGUCUGUCCUUCUGAAUCAACAUGGUGGCCAUGACAUUGGCCAAAGUGCUGUGAGUUAAAGAAGAAAGAGACUUGGACCUUGUCCAUAUAUACUGGAUUAGCCAGGGGCUGGCGGUCAAGUUCUGGACUCAGGCCGACCUGCAGUGGAAUGUCACCUUCUCCACCUACCAGCUUGAGCAAGUUAUAUAGAUUCUUGUAAGUCCCAAUGUUUCCUUCCAUGUUGAUGGGCCUGAUCAGAGUAUCUACCUCAUAGGCUUGUUGUGAGGAGUAGUGUAAUAAUAA
rnacentral:lncRNA from 1 species